rnacentral:rRNA from 1 species
CAAGUCGAGGGGCAUCAGUUUGGUUUGCUUGCAAACCAAAGCUGGCGACCGGCGCACGGGUGAGUAACACGUAUCCAACCUGCCUCAUACUCGGGGAUAGCCUUUCGAAAGAAAGAUUAAUAUCCGAUAGCAUAUAUUUCCCGCAUGGGUUUUAUAUUAAAGAAAUUCGGUAUGAGAUGGGGAUGCGUUCCAUUAGGUAGUAGGCGGGUAACGGCCCACCUAGCCGACGAUGGAUAGGGGUUCUGAGAGGAAGGUCCCCACAUUGGAACUGAGACACGGUCCAAACUCC